UACGUAGGGUGCGAGCGUUGUCCGGAAUUACUGGGCGUGAAGAGCUCGUAGGUGGUUUGUCGCGUUGUUCGUGAAAACCGGGGGCUUAACCCUCGGCGUGCGGGCGAUACGGGCAGACUUGAGUACUGCAGGGGAGACUGGAAUUCCUGGUGUAGCGGUGGAAUGCGCAGAUAUCAGGAGGAACACCGGUGGCGAAGGCGGGUCUCUGGGCAGUAACUGACGCUGAGGAGCGAAAGCGUGGGGAGCGAACAGG
rnacentral:rRNA from 1 species